UGAUGAUGAUGUGGAUGAUGAGGAUGGUGGUGGUGGUGCUGGUGCUGGAGGUGCGAAAAAUUAGUACCGACACCACCGCUACUGUCCCCAUCGUCGGAUGCA
rnacentral:pre_miRNA from 1 species